rnacentral:lncRNA from 1 species
ACAAGGUAACCCUGGCCUCUGAACUACCACGCCCAGAAGUCCUCGCGGCAGAUGAAGACAAAGACCUUUUGUUGUCCCGUAACUUCCUGUACCGGAAGCUCUCGCCACCCGGAAGUUGGCCCUUUUCCCGGUUCUGUGGCCGCUGUGACCUGGCGCGCUCUCGGGGCGGACUGCGGGGGACCCUGGGGCGGGAGCGAGCGAGCUCUCCUCGUGGAUGCCCGGCCUUCCCUGAGACGUGGGAACACUGAGGAAAAGACAAUGGCCCCUGUAUUCCUGACAGCCAGGGCCCCCCAGAUUCGCAGUCCAAAUCACAAAAAUGGGCGAGUACAAGUCACGUGAUGCCAGCUUGGAGAUUCAGAAACUAGGCUUCAGAGAGAAGAAGUGCCUUGGACCACAGAGAGAGUAAAGGUUGGAGCCAGGACAGACGACAGGCUUCUAAUUUCCCUUUCCUUCCCCUGCUUCCAACCCAAGACCAGAGGAGACAUCGAAUCACUGCUUCAGAUUUGUCAGUCACACGCUUCUUGUGUUAUCUGACGUCAGCAAGGCGAGGUGUUGCUCUAAGCAGGUUUGAAUCAGGCUGUGAUCGUCAGCACUUAUGAAGUGCCUAUGGUGUGCCAAGCGCUGGGGCAAGGCAAUCCCUGCCCCCAGGAGCUCCAGGCUCCUGGCACUCUCCCCUUGCAAAGAUGCCUGUGCAAAUGAGAGAGUCUGGAUAACUAGAGGCAUUCUGUGGGGAAGGCCAAGCCCUGACGGGGAUUGAAGCGGCUUCUUGCCGAAGCGGGGAUUGUGGCUGAGACCUGCAGAGAGAGUGAUGCUGAGGGAGAGAAUUCAGGUGUGACAGAUGGUGUUGGAGGAAUUUGUGAUGAGGAAGAACUAGAAAAAACGUUUGGUUAUUAAUGAGGCUUGUUGAUAGAAUGAAUGUUUGUGGCAUGGUGACUGGUGGUGGUACCAUGAGAAGUGGGAGCCAGAGCGGCUCCUGGGCUGAGCUGGGAGGCAGCCCCCAAGGCUGGCGUCCUAUGAAUCUGGUCAAUGCAGUUUUACAUUGAAAAGGAAGGGAGGGGGAGGAGAGGGCCUGUCAUGGACAAAAUCAUGAUAACACAUGCUCAUCACACUGACCUCGCAGGGUCGUUAGGGGGAAGGUUCUUGGCUGUGAUGAUGUACACAGUUCCGAACCUAGUUCACACAGUAGGUGAUCAGUAAAUACUUUUCUAGGGCUGUACUGAAGGCUGAAUGCUCUAGGACUCCCCACAGUCCCUGGGCACCCCCACCCUUCCUCUCAGGUUGUUAUGAGGGUCCUGGGCACCCACACACAUACAUUUAUUAUUUCAGGAAUUAGUGACAUUCAAGGAUGUGACCGUGGACUUCACCUGGGAGGAGUGGGGGUGCUUGUACCCCUCUCAAAAGAAAUUAUACCACGAUGUGAUGCUGGAGAACUACAGGAACCUGAUCUGCCUGGGUAAGGAUGGCCCCCGGGCGUCAGUAUCUAUGUGCCCAUUGGGAGAGCUUCUCCUUCCUUCCUUAGUCAAUGCUGUUGUCGACUGGCUGGAGUUUUACGUAAUCAUUGUUUGGUACACCGGCAGCAGAGAUUGCUGAUCUUUUCAUCAAAUGGUAGAGUCCUCAUCACCAGGUGAAAGGUCUUUUGUUAUAGAACUGGAAGCUGGCAUUCUGAAUGUGUCUCCCCUAAGGUUGUGUUCUCAGGUCCCCCUGGUCAAAGGUUUCUCCCCUAAAGGGCCAAGUAGAGAGGCCUGGACACCUGAAAGAUUGCCGUCCUCUCGGCAGGGUCAGGCUGCGGUGAGCUCCUUUUUUCUGAGCCCAGAUCUGUUUUGUGACCUAAUGCACCACAUUUGCCAGGAGUAAAGUAUAGAACGUCCAUCGGGAGUCUUUGAAACAGCCUGUGACCUUCGUUGCAGGUCCGUUUUUUUCCCCCAAGAGACGAAACACAAAGGUUGAAUUCUGAACUGGAGAAUCUUCCAUUUCUCUUGAGCAGGACUUGAGGUUUCCGAACCACAUGUGAUCUAUCAGCUGGAGCAUGGGGAAGCACCUUUGAAGCUGGAGGGAGACAUCCCCAGGACCAGCCGUCCAGGUGAGCUGGCAAAUAUCUAGCACAGAAGUCAUUCCAAGCAGUGUCUGAGCCGGUCCAUCCCUUGGGGCAGAACAGUGCCAGGGGUCUCAACUGACAUGAGAUUUGUGAAGUACUUAGCCCAGUGCCUGGCACAUAGUAGGUGCUUAGUAAAUGCCUGUUCCUGUCCCUGUCCCUUCCCUGCCAAGAUUGUUUGGCCUGCACAGAAGAACCAGGCUGUCUGACCAUAGGUCUUUCCUACGGCUUCUUCCCUCCAACCAGUCACUUUCCUGGCCUCUCUCCACACCCAGGGUUAGAGAGAGAUGUGCCUCUGGUCAGGAAUGGCUCUUUCUCUCCCUCUUUGGUCUUGGGGACCUGUUUCCACCAGCUGGUACCUCAGUGACUGCCGUGAGCCCUCAUGUCUGGAGGAGCUCCUGAUGGACGCCUUCCUGCUUGGCGCAUUGAGGCUAAGUGAUGUGGUGAGCCGGGAUCAUUAGGAAGGUGGUCACUGUCACUAUCACUCCUUAUUGUCCAUGGGCACUCAAGGGCCAACCUCAUUUUGUAGUUUUCAGUUUUAUUGAUAUUUUGUGUUUUUAUCGCAUUCACUACCCAGGACUUCCUUCCCUCCCCUCCUACCCAGAGUCAUUCCUUAUGACACAGAAUGAAAAAGCAAAGGGGGGGGUAGGGGUGGGGUAGGUGGCGUGGUGGAUAGAGCACCAGACCUGGAGUCAGGAGGACCUGACACUAGCUAUGUGACCCUAGGCAAGUCACUUGACUCUAGUUGUGUUAAAAACAAAAAAAAAGCAAACAGAAAAAAAAAAGUCAGCAAAUUGUUUCCAGGGUAGCUUGACAGUAUUUGCUUUACCUCUGUCAUCUCUCACCUCUGCAAGGAAGGGGAAUGAGCGUGCUCCACUCUUUAUCGGGGCCAAGGAGGUUCCUGUCCUUAGCAGAAGAAAUUGUACUGAAUGUGAUUUAUUAUCAGACUUCAUGUGUGAGGAAUUCAUUGUUUGUAAGUAUAGCCACUUGUGGUCUCCCAAGUUUGCAUACUAAAAGUUCAGUGGGAGGUUUUUUCAUUUUAAGAUCACUGAAAGUGUGGUACCCGUCUCCCCAUGAUCAAAGGUAAUUAUAGCUUCUGUCAAGCUUCUUCCUGGCCUUUAUUGGUCUCCAAGUAGAGCAGGUUGGUCCUCUCAUGGCCAGAAGAUCAUGAGGUCCCCAGGGAGAUCCAUAGUGAAGGUCUGUCCUCUGAGGAGCGGGGCGCUCUGGCUGACCAGAUGUUGCAGGGGGUGCUGGCUUUGCCUGGCUUUUGCUGUUAGCUUCCGUGAAAGCAAUCUCUGCUGCCAUAGAACUCUUGAGUGAGGUUCGGUCCUUAGAAGAGAAGGUGAUUAGCCAGUGGUGCAGAGCUUAGAUGCAGCCAGCAAGCCAGACUUCUCAGAGGAGCGGGUUCAGGAGUCGUUUGUUAAAGCCCAGCGAGUUCAUCAGCUUGCCAACAGGUCUCUGUGGCUGGUGUUCGUGCUGUGGGCUGGAAAGAUUCAGACCUUGGUGCUUGGAGUGAGGAUGUAGGAGAGGAUACUGGGAAGGAGGGUGUACUGCAUGCCCCUUUUCCUUCUCAUUAGUGCAUUUCCACCUCCCCAGGCAGGAACAGAUCCUCCACAUGAGCCCGUCUGCCUCACCCCCCCAUCAUCUUUCUUCUGGACAGUGGCUAUAGUGAUCCUUAUCUUUCAAACCAAAUCUAGCAAUAAAACUGCAUUAAAUGGACCUACA